ensembl:snRNA U7 U7 small nuclear RNA
AAGUGGUAUGGCCCUUUUAGAAUUUUUCUGGCAGGUUUUCUGGUUUUCACCAGAAAACAUCCCA